CCUUUGACGAAGAACGCUAACGCGCCUGCGCAACCGGCUUAUUUUGAUACGAGGUUCGAAAACAGUUGCUAUAAAAUAUUUGGCGUUGGUCAGACAUUUGUAAUUUGUGAAAUUGAGCAGUGAUAUCCAACAAUUAAGAUGAAUAUUCAACUGAAGUAAAUUCGGUUGCAGUGAAGUGAGUGAAGGAAAUUGUGUGUACUACCGGGAUGACUAGAUAGAAGAAAAGGAAUGAUCUAAGGGUCUUAGGGCAACAGUCUUCUUCCCUUUCAUAGGGGUGGGCUGCUAAGGGAUCUCCCUGAGAUCAUUCCCAACUUUAGCCAACGAUGGACCAAAAAGAGCGAAUCGGCGCUUAUAGAGAAAAGAAGUAAUUCCACUUGAACAAAAUCAACUACAGCAACUUCUGAUGGAAAACAAUAAAUUCCAGGUUAUCGGCAGAGUAAUACUCUCCGCUGAAAAUUAUUUCAGAGGACUCGGAAGAAAUAAAAUCAAGAUGAAGAAGAUCAGAAGGGUAGGAAAUACUCUAGCAACCAUUUACAAUUCAGCCACAUGAUAGCGAGAGAAAAGAAGUAAUUCCUUUGGAACAAAAUCAACUGCGGCGAAUUAUGAUGGAGAACAAUAAAUUCCAGGCAAAGCAAGACUUUCCGCUGAAAAUUUUUUCAGAGGACUCGGAAGAAAGAAAAUCAAGAUAAUGAAGAUCAAAAGGGUGGAAAAUAAUUAAUCGACAAUUCAGAUGAAUAAAAUGAAAGUGGAAGAUGUAGAGAAAAUCAAUAGCGAGAGAAAAGAAGAAAUUCCUUUAGAACAGAAUCAACUACAGCAACUUCUAAUGGAAAACAAUAAAUUCCAGUCAAAGCAAGACUUUCCGCUGAAAAUUAUUUCAGAGAGAAAAUAAGUAAUUCCACUGGAACGAAAUCAACUACAGCAACUUGAGAUGGAAAACAAUAAAUUCCAGGCAAAGCAAGACUUUCCGCUGAAAAUUUUUUCAGGAGACCGGGAAGAAAAAAAAAUCAAGAUGAUGACGAUCAGAAGGGUAGGAAAUACUCAAGCAAUGGGCAAAUCAGCCACAUGAUAGCGAGAGAAAAGAAGUAAUUCCACUUGAACAAAAUCAACUACGCCUACAUAUGAUGGAAAACAAUAAAUUCCAGGCAAAGCAAGACUUUCCGAUGAAAAUUAUUUCAGAGGACUCGGAAGAAAGAAAAUCAAGAUGAAGAAGAUCAGAAGGGAAAGGAAAUACUCAAUCAAUGGACACUUCAGAUGAAUAAGACAAAAGUGGAGGCUUGUGAUCAUUUGGAAGAUGAAGCGAGAGAAAAGAAGUAAUUCCACUAGGACAAAUUAUCUGGAAGAAAAGUUUCAGUUCCUCCAAUGGUAACGGAUAUCGAGACGACAAGAUUUUUUUACUAGGU